UCUCCUCCAUGCCUUCUGCCAUGAUGUUACAUUUUGUUACUUUGGCUCAGGCUCACAGCAACAGAGCAAGCGUACCAUGGACUGAAAACUGUGGAACAGUGAACCAAGACGAAUCUUUCUUCCAACUGAAAAAAUAACACUUUUUGGGGCUAAAGACACAGCUCAGCAAUUAAGAGCAUAGAUGCUUUUCCAGACAACCCAGAUUUUAUUCCAGCAUCCACAUGGCAUCUCUCGAUCAUCUGUAACUCCAGUUCCAGAGGAUCUAACACCUUCUUCUGACCUCCUUGGAAUCCUGAAUACAUGUGGUGCAAAGAUAUACACUCAGGAGCUCAAACCCAGGGCCUUACACAAGCUUUACCAUUGUGUUGCACUUCCAGACUGAGAACUUCUAAUUGUGGACAUGCUAGAGUACUUUCCAGCGGUCUGACACUGAGAAGGUUAUAGGAUUGUUUUUCUCUUCUCUGGAUCUGUGAGGGUGCUGACACAGGAUUUUGCCGUAUAACUCAGGCUGAUCUUGAACUCCUGCAAUUUUACCUCAACCUCCUAGGUUUGAGACACCUGUCUGACAGGCACUGGGUUUUUUGUUGUUUUGUUAUGAAGUUCAGGGUUCCCUCAAACUGGUUUUGUAGCCAAGGACGACCUUGAACUCCUUCUCGAACCUCCACCUCCCAAGAGUUAGGAUUUCAAGUGUUCAUCACCAAGCCUGUUCAGGAUAUUAUCUUUUGAACUGAGGGCACUGCAUAACGACACUGUGAACAAGAUUUAAAGUGCUACUCCCCAAAGGCAGAAGGAAAAGAUAGAAACAGUAUUUGUACAGACACUGGUUGAGAAUUU